rnacentral:snoRNA from 19 species
GAGCCGAUGAUUAUUGUUAAUUGGAAUUACCGGCUGAUGGUUUCAAUGUAAGCCAGAAUGCUGUGAACUGGCUGACUGAGGCUUUCG